GCCAGACUCCUACGGGAGGCAGCAGUGGGGGAUAUUGCACAAUGGGGGAAACCCUGAUGCAGCGACGCCGCGUGAGUGAAGAAGUAUUUCGGUAUGUAAAGCUCUAUCAGCAGGGAAGAAAAAAGACGGUACCUGACUAAGAAGCCCCGGCUAACUACGUGCCAGCAGCCGCGGUAAUACGUAGGGGGCAAGCGUUAUCCGGAUUUACUGGGUGUAAAGGGAGCGUAGACGGCAAUACAAGUCGGAAGUGAAAUACCCGGGCUCAACCUGGGAACUGCUUUGGAAACUGUAUGGCUGGAGUGCUGGAGAGGUAAGCGGAAUUCCUAGUGUAGCGGUGAAAUGCGUAGAUAUUAGGAGGAACACCAGUGGCGAAGGCGGCUUACUGGACUGUAACUGACGUUGAGGCUCGAAAGCGUGGGGAGCAAACAGGAUUAGAUACCCGAGUAUU
rnacentral:rRNA from 1 species